UUUACUUACAUGUUCAUUUUCACGUUGAUAUAUGUAUUGAAACAGGAAAUCCAGAUGUGCAUCCAGAGGAAACAAAUCCUGAUAUGGACAGGACCUCUUCCCUUGCUAACAUUGCAACAGUUGCAAGAGAGGAGAACCCUGCUCUGAUAAAUGUUAAGACUGCCUCAACUAAAGAAUACCCGAUUAUGUAUCAGAUUCAAGACCUGUCUGCCAGUAGAACUUGCUGGGAUUGUCAGCCAAGCAAUGAACAAAUACAAAUGGUAUGUUGUACUACACAGAUUAUUAAUUCAGUAC